AGCAGCCGCGGUAAUUCCAGCUCCAAUAGCGUAUAUUAAAGUUGUUGCAGUUAAAAAGCUCGUAGUUGAACUUCAGGCCUGUCCAGACGGUCCGCCUUAAUUGGUGUGUACUGUCCUUGGGUGGGUCCUACCUUCUGGCGAAGCGGCAUGGCCUUAAUUGGUUGUGUCGGGGGAACCAGGACUUUUACUGUGAAAAAAUUAGAGUGUUCAAAGCAGGCAAAUAUGCUCGAAUACAUUAGCAUGGAAUAAUGGAAUAGGACGAUGGUUCUAUUUUGUUGGUUCUAGGACCGUUGUAAUGAUUAAUAGGGAUAGUUGGGGGCAUUAGUAUUCAAUUGUCAGAGGUGAAAUUCUUGGAUUUAUUGAAGACUAACUACUGCGAAAGCAUUUGCCAAGGAUGUUUUCAUUAAUCAAGAACGAAAGUUAGGGGAUCGAAGACGAUCAGAUACCGUCGUAGUCUUAACCAUAAACUAUGCCGACUAGGAAUCGGGCGAUGUUGACAAAAUGACUCGCUCGGCACCU
rnacentral:rRNA from 1 species